AGUGAACGCUGGCGGCAGGCCUAAUACAUGCAAGUUGAACGGCAGCACAGCAGAGCUUGCUCUGUGGGUGGCGAGUGGCGGACGGGUGAGGAAUACAUGGGAAUCUGCCCAGUCGUGGGGGAUAACGUAUGGAAACGUACGCUAAUACCGCAUGCGCCCUACGGGGGAAAGCCGGGGACCGCAAGGCCUGGCGCGAUUGGAUGAGCCCAUGUCGGAUUAGCUAGUUGGCGGGGUAACGGCCCACCAAGGCGACGAUCCGUAGCUGGUCUGAGAGGAUGAUCAGCCACACUGGAACUGAGACACGGUCCAGACUCCUACGGGAGGCAGCAGUAGGGAAUAUUGGACAAUGGGCGCAAGCCUGAUCCAGCCAUGCCGCGUGAGUGAAGAAGGCCCUCGGGUUGUAAAGCUCUUUUGUCCGGAAAGAAAAGCACUGGGUUAAUACCCCGGUGUCCUGACGGUACCGGAAGAAUAAGCACCGGCUAACUUCGUGCC
rnacentral:rRNA from 1 species